AGCAAACUCUGGUGGAGGCUCGUAGCGAUUCUGACGUGCAAAUCGAUUUUCAAAUGCC
rnacentral:rRNA from 11 species